rnacentral:hammerhead_ribozyme from 1 species
AUCCAGCUAACGAGUCUCAAAUAAGACGAAACACGAGUUCUGGGU